GGCAGGCCCUGGGGUUGCAGGGCAGAGCACGCCUGGCCUCCACGUCCCGCUCCGCCAUUGGCUGGAGGCCCAGCGCUGGGGCCCAGCCCUCUCCUCAACGGCCGAGGAGCCAGUCGGCUUGGGGAGGGUGACCAACUUGGGGUCAGUGGCCAACUGUCCUGGUUCGCCGGAGAGUUGUAGAAAUACUCGCCCACGGUGAAAAACAGACAAGGAAAUCCUCCUCCUCCUCCUCGUCAUCAUCGUCAUUAUCGUCGUCGUCGUCGUCAUCGUCAUCAUCAUCAUCAUCCAGAGGAGGCUCUGGCUCACCUUAGGCCUUCGGUCCCGCUUUCUCUUUUACAAUGCUUUGUUUCACACAAGCCUACAAUAAACCUAUUAAGGACUCUUUUCAGAGGCCCCCCCCACCCCCCCCGUAACUUGUGAACUGCCUGGAAGAGGGCCUCGGCAUCCUUCUCAGGCUUCCUCGGCCACCACGUUGGCCCCUCCCACCUGCUCUUCACAAGCCUUGGAGAGGUCUGCAUCACAUCUCUUCUGUACAAUGCCCUUUGGUAGUUCCCACCUUCCUCAGAGUAAAAGCCUGGGAUCUGACUCCUGUCUAUCUCUCUGACCUCAACACCUAGGACACUUACCAUCACCUAGAACCACCCUGGUCCUCCUGGAUACCAUGCAAAUUUCCACUUCUGAGCCUUUACACUAGCUGUUCCUUCUGUCUGGAACACUAUUCCUUGAGAUCCUCUGAUGGCUUAUAUCCUCGCUUCUUUCACGCAGAUCUUCUAAGCUUAAAUGUCAUCUCUUCAGAGGGGCCUUCCUCUGACCACCCCAGUUACAAUAGCCUCCCCCCUCAACUCUCUUUUUAUGUGUAUUUUUCUUCAGAAAAGAAAAUAUGUCACUCACUCCCUGACGUAUUUAUUGUCUGCCUUCACCCAUAAGAAUGUCAGCUUCAUGGUGGCAGGAAUUUAUGUCUGAUGUGUUCACUGCUGCAUCCCUAGCCUGACACACAGUACAUGCUCAAUAAAUGUUCGUUCAAUGAACAGAGCAGGAGGAUAUGAGUGUCAUAAAGAGAUGUGGAGACUGUGGGACCUGGAGAAGAUAUGUCCACCCCAAACCAUUCACAUUAACACACACCCACACACACCCUCACACAUACACCGGGUUGUUGCCUGCAAGCCAAAGAGUUUGGGCUGCCAGUUUCCAUCUGAAUUUAUAAAUAUUAAAAAGCAUUAACAGGAAUAUAGGAUACAUGAUGGUUGGCACCUUACUGUGUAUAGUUUAAGGUUCUUCACAGUGUCAGUACCCCAGCAGCCAAAGGUCAGGAGCAUGAACCUGCCCUGAGUCAAGAAAGUUGGCAGUGAGGGGGGAACACACAGCACGGGGGACUGCGGGGUAUCGCAGUAAGAAAAAAGGUGUAUCAUAGGUUUUGGGCUUGUUAGGUGAUUUGGGGACAAUUCAAAGUGAAGUUUUACUCUAGGUUGAAUACUAUCCAGAAGUGGGGGUAAUUUUAUGAUUGGGUGUGCUAACACAUCUUCUCUAUAGAGAGGACUAGAAAGAGGCUAAAGCUGUAAUUGGCUAAGGAAAAAAAAAGCCACUCAUUAAUCAGGAUGGGGAUGUUCAGUUAAUUUCUGUGGUUUAGACAAUGUCUCUGAUGUUCUGUCUGUGUCCAGACAUGAUUUCGAGGUGGUCUUAAUUUUGUCUUAAUCCAUCAUGGUUACAGAAUGGCCUUCUCGGAUGUUGAUACUCUGUGAAAUUGUUUAUGUUCAACAGAAGAACACCAAAGCUUAACUGUGAAUACCAGGCCAGCUCCCAGAAGUUAGGGGCUGCUUUUCUCUUUCUCAGUAGACAUUACAAAACUACACAUCAGAAAGGUGGUGCCAAUUUCUCAGCACUGUAUAACAGUGCCUUUUUCUUCACAUUCUCUCCCACCUGUGUUCACACACACACACACACACACACACACACAUUUUUAUUUUAAUUCCAGUUAGUUAACAUUGUGUUAUAUUAGUUUUAGGUGUACAAUAUAGUGAUUCAAAAUUCCAUACAUCACCCGGUGCUCAUCACAAGUGUCCUUCUUAAUCCCCAUCACCUUUUUAACUCAUCCCCAUGCUUUCCCUCUGGUAACCAUCAUAUAUUUCAAUUUGGUAAGUGGUUUCCCCUGGGCUUUUAAAGGAUCUCUGAUUAUUACAGAGGUAAUAAUAAUUAUCACAGAGGUAAGCAUUUUUAUAUACUUAUUGCUCAUUUAUAUUUCUUCUUCUGUGAAUCACCUUUUCAUAUCUUUGCAUGUUUUUCUGUUGGGGAGUUUGUUUCUUAGUGAUUUGUAAGUUUCUUAGUGAUUUAUAAGUCUUAGUGAUUUGUAAGUGAUUGUAAAUUUAAGGAUUAACCCAUUGCCUGUUAUAGACAUUUCCCCCCCUAGAUUGUCAAUGUUUUUUAAAUUCUGUUCAUGGUGUUGCCAGCAUUUUAGUUGUCAAAUAUAUCAUUAUGAUAUAUUUUCCAUUAUGAUGUCUUUGUAGAUUUUAGCCUUAGAUUUUCCAUGACCCAGAUCAGUUAUUGUUUGCCCAUAUUUUCAUUUUGUGCUUUUAAAGAUCAUAGUUUUCACUCUUGAAUCUCCCAUUUGGAAUUUAUUUAGUGUGAAGUGCAGGGCAAAAUUUGUAUUUUUUACCCUCCCAAUACUGAGGCAAGUUUCCUAACCUUAACAUUGACAAAGCUAUUCCUUCCACAACUGGCUCUUGGCGCUUCAUUUUUUUGUACAGACCACAACAUGCUGAGUAUUCAUGGCUGAGGCCAUUUUGUCAGGUCUGCCUAUUUCAACUCGCAUUUUGUUUUGCAUAUCAGUUUGUCCCCCGAAGUCUUGAAGCCAGCCACACUUGCCUUUUUAUCCAAAUGGACACAAUACGUCUCUCCAUUUGCCUCUUUUAUGCUUCUCAUGAGUUUUGCCAUUUUCUUUCAUGAGUCCUAAACACUCCUUCUUAAGGUUAUUCUUUGGUAUUUUAUUAUUGUUGUGAAGAUAAUCUGUUUCUUGUUCAUUCUCUAACUGGUUAUUGCUUGUAUUUGAGAACAUGUUUAAUCUUGCUACCCCUGCCUGGUAAGUCUCUGUGCACCCACUGCCCCCUGUACUUUACUAACACCUGCCUCCUUCUCUCCACGCAGGGCCUUCUCAGUACUGUCAGUACAUGCUGGAACCAUCGAAGUCCUUGGAUCAGCUUUAACUGCUGGAUGGAGUAAAAACCAUGAGACUACUGGGUGAUCUGUGAACAGACUGGCAGACGACGAAACAAAACCAAAAUGGAUAGGAAGACUAUUCUGGAGAGCUAGUCAAAUUACUUGCUUGCUUACUGAAAUUUGUUAGGAAAAAAACUAGAACAUUAAAUGAAAUAAAAAUUUUAAAC